rnacentral:rRNA from 1 species
UACGAAGGGGGCUAGCGUUGCUCGGAAUCACUGGGCGUAAAGGGUGCGUAGGCGGGUUUUUAAGUCAGGGGUGAAAUCCUGGAGCUCAACUCCAGAACUGCCUUUGAUACUGAAUAUCUUGAGUCCGGGAGAGGUGAGUGGAACUGCGAGUGUAGAGGUGAAAUUCGUAGAUAUUCGCAAGAACACCAGUGGCGAAGGCGGCUCACUGGCCCGGUACUGACGCUGAGGCACGAAAGCGUGGGGAGCAAACAGG